UACGAGUGCCCCCAAGCGUUAUCCGGAAUUAUUGGGCGUAAAGGGUGUGUAGGUGGUUUUGUUAGUCUUCUGUUAAAGCUCCCGGCUUAACCGGGAAAGUGCAGAGGAAACGGCAAGACUAGAGGAUGUGAGGGGUCUAUGGAACUCAUGGUGUAGGGGUGAAAUCCGUUGAUAUCAUGGGGAACACCAAAAGCGAAGGCAAUAGACUGGCGCAUUCCUGACACUGAAACACGAAAGCGUGGGUAGCGAAUGGG
rnacentral:rRNA from 1 species